CCUACGGGGGGCAGCAGUGAGGAAUAUUGGUCAAUGGGCGCGAGCCUGAACCAGCCAAGUCGCGUGAGGGAUGAAGGUUCAAUGGAUCGUAAACCUCUUUUAUCAGGGAAUAAAGUGUGGGACGUGUCCCAUUUUGUGUGUACCUUAUGAAUAAGCAUCGGCUAACUCCGUGCCAGCAGCCGCGGUAAUACGGAGGAUCCGAGCGUUAUCCGGAUUUAUUGGGUUUAAAGGGUGCGGAGGCGGCCUGUUAAGUCAGCGGUGAAAGGCUGGGGCUCAACCAUGGCAUGGCCGUUGAACCUGGGAGUCUUGAGUAGGAGUGAGGCAGGAGGAAUGCGUGGUGUAGCGGUGAAAUGCAUAGAUAUCGCGCAGAACCCCGAUUGCGAAGGCAGCAUGCC
rnacentral:rRNA from 1 species